rnacentral:rRNA from 1 species
UACGGGGGGGGCAAGCGUUGUUCGGAAUUACUGGGCGUAAAGGGCUCGUAGGCGGCCAACUAAGUCGGAUGUGAAAUCCCCAGGCUUAACCUGGGAAUUGCAUCCGAUACUGGAUGGCUUGAAUCCGGGAGAGGGAUGCGGAAUUCCAGGUGUAGCGGUGAAAUGCGUAGAUAUCUGGAGGAACACCGGUGGCGAAGGCGGCAUCCUGGACCGGCAUUGACGCUGAGGCGCGAAAGCUAGGGGAGCAAACAGG